AGCGAACGCUGGCGGCGUGCUUAACACAUGCAAGUCGCGCGCGAAAAGAGGCUUUCGGGUCUUGAGUAGAGCGGCGCACGGGUGCGUAAGACGCGGGUGACCUAUCCACGAGGUGGGGAUAACCCUUCGAAAGAGGGGCUAAUACCGGAUGAGCCCACAGGCAGAGAUGCUAGGGGGCAAAGGGUGCGAUUUACUAAGCGCAUCUCUUCGUGGCGGGGCCCACGGCCUANCAGCUAGUUGGUGUGGUAACGGCACACCAAGGCGAAGACGGGUAGCUGGUCUGAGAGGACGACCAGCCACACUGGGACUGAGACACGGCCCAGACUCCUACGGGAGGCAGCAGUGGGGAAUAUUGGACAGUGGGCGCAAGCCUGAUCCAGCGAUGCCGCGUGUGUGAAGAAGGCCUGCGGGUUGUAAAGCACUUUC
rnacentral:rRNA from 1 species